rnacentral:rRNA from 1 species
AUUGAACGCUGGCGGCAGGCCUAACACAUGCAAGUCGAACGGUAACAGGAAACAGCUUGCUGUUUCGCUGCCGAGUGGCGGACGGGUGAGUAAUGUCUGGGAAACUGCCUGAUGGAGGGGGAUAACUACCGGAAACGGUAGCUAAUACCGCAUAACGUCGCAAGACCAAAGAGGGGGACCCUCGGGCCUCUUGCCAUCGGAUGUGCCCAGAUGGGAUUAGCUUGUUGGUGGGGUAACGGCUCACCAAGGCGACGAUCCCUAGCUGGUCUGAGAGGAUGACCAGCCACACUGGAACUGAGACACGGUCCAGACUCCUACGGGAGGCAGCAGUGGGGAAUAUUGCACAAUGGGCGCAAGCCUGAUGCAGCCAUGCCGCGUGUAUGAAGAAGGCCUUCGGGUUGUAAAGUACUUUCAGCGGGGAGGAAGGGAGUAAAGUUAAUACCUUUGCUCAUUGACGUUACCCGCAGAAGAAGCACCGGCUAACUCCGUG